CGUAUCACUUAAAGCGAUUCAGCGGGUUACGAUUGACGGAGCGAAGCGACGUCAAAGCGUAUACAAAGUCGAGUCGGUUUAAGGAUACGUUCGUUGGGUAGGGGAGCGUUCUGUAAGCCUGUGAAGGUGGCCUGUGAGGGUUGCUGGAGGUAUCAGAAGUGCGAAUGCUGACAUAAGUAACGAUAAAGCGGGUGAAAAGCCCGCUCGCCGGAAGACCAAGGGUUCCUGUCCAACGUUAAUCGGGGCAGGGUGAGUCGACCCCUAAGGCGAGGCCGAAAGGCGUAGUCGAUGGGAAACGGGUUAAUAUUCCCGUACUUGGUGUUACUGCGAAGGGGGGACGGAGAAGGCUAUGUUGGCCGGGCGACGGUUGUCCCGGUUUAAGCGUGUAGGUGUGUGUUCCAGGUAAAUCCGGUUCACUUUAACACUGAGGCGUGACGACGAGGCACUACGGUGCUGAAGCAACAAAUGCCCUGCUUCCAGGAAAAGCCUCUAAGCAUCAGGUAACAUCAAAUCGUACCCCAAACCGACACAGGUGGUCAGGUAGAGAAUACCAAGGCGCUUGAGAGAACUCGGGUGAAGGAACUAGGCAAAAUGGUGCCGUAACU
rnacentral:rRNA from 1 species